UACGUAAGGGGCAAGCGUUAUCCGGAUUUACUGGGUGUAAAGGGAGCGUAGACGGUGAGGUAAGUCUGAUGUGAAAACCCGGGGCUCAACUCCGGGAUUGCAUUGGAAACUGUCUGACUUGAGUACUGGAGGGGUAAGCGGAAUUCCUGGUGUAGCGGUGAAAUGCGUAGAUAUCAGGAGGAACACCGGUGGCGAAGGCGGCUUACUGGACAGUAACUGACGUUGAGGCUCGAAAGCGUGGGGAGCAAAC
rnacentral:rRNA from 1 species